CUUAACUGGCAUUUCAAAAACUUAUUGCAGAAGGUGUUGAUGUAAAUGCUGGAAACUUAUUUAAAAGAACACCACUUCAAUUUGCAGCUAAAAACGGUCAUGUGAAUGUAGUUCGUGCUCUUAUUCAACACGGUGCUAAAGUUGAUGCUGCCGACAAGUUGCAAGAGAUACCACUUCAUUUUGCAGACCAUGAGAACGUAGUUCGGGCUCUCAUCGAGCUUGGUGCAAAUGUGGAGUCUAAAAACUAUUUCAAGGAGACACCACUUGCUCAUGCAGUUAUUUUUGGAAAAUCGACUACAUAUCAUCACCCAGAGUCGUCCUAUACUUAUUGCAGUUUCUCAUAUUAUCUUUUUAGCCAAUGAGAAUAUGGUGCGGGUUCGUAUCGAACUUGGUGCAAAAUUUACUUAA